rnacentral:lncRNA from 1 species
GGUGUGGAGCGCUCCCACCCUCGCUGCAGCUGCGGCACCGGCUCGGGGCUCCCUGCCCGGCCUCGGGGCUCCCUGCCCGGCUCGGGGCUCCGUGCCCGGCUCGGGGCUCCCUGCCCGGGCUGCCAGCCGCCGGCAGCCCCGGAGCACAGGACGCGGCCGGAGCAGGAAACAAGCAACACCAAACUGGCAGCUGGCUGAGCCUUCCCUGCUCCUUGAUGAAGAAGGCAGCACAUCCCUGAGCUCAGCACCUGGGAAAAAGCUGCCCUGUGCUGGAGACUUGGUGCCACAGGCUGCAGCUCCUGCUCUCCCUGCCUCCAAACCCCUCUGCUGAGCCUCCCCAUGCCUGCAGCACCCGAGGCAAAGCUGGCUCCUGGAUGCUGACAGGGCAGCCCUAGAUCUGCUUCUCCAGGAAUCCUGAGAACACCUCCCCAGUCCCAAUGAGGCCCAAGCUGAGGGAGGCUCCUGGAGCUGCACUUUUGGCCUCAGCAGAUUAUGAGAACUUUGCUGAUGUCAACUCCACCAGGGACACGGAGAGCGAGCAGCUGGACGGGUCCCUCUCGUCCACCAUCGCACUCAUCGUCGUGCUGGUCAUCCUCUUCUCCCUGCUGAUGACAUCCCUCAUCACCUACUGCUUCCACAAGUGGAAACUCAGAGGGAAAAGACUGCAGAAAGCACAAGAGGAGUAUCAGAGAGACCAAGAAAAGAGCAUUUGCCAAAGCACACCUGGACUUGUUUCAUAAAAAGAGAAAUCCAGGAUCCACCAUGAAGUACUCUUGAAUUACCUGAAAAUCAUGAGAGAACUGCAAAUUUGAAAUUUCCAAGCAGAUACAUCCUUGUUUUAUCUCAUUUCUAAGAGUUGUUAGCAGUUUGGAGAUUUCCUACCGCUUUAUUAUACAUAUAUAUAUAUAUUUAUACAUUUAGUCUCAUUUGUGCAAAGUAAAACCAAUGCAAUUAUGUAUUUUUAAUCUCUUCUGUCGUUUUAAUCCUCGCUGGGCAAACUGUGGCAGUGCCAGUGAGGGUGGGCAGGCCCUGGCACAGAUUCCUGAGAAGCUGUGGCUGCCCCUGGAUCCCUGGCAGUGCCCAAGGCCAGGCUGGACAUUGGGGUUUGGAGCAGCCUGGGACAGUGGGAGGUGUCCCUGCCAUGGCAGGGCUGGAAUGGGAAGAGUUUUUAGCUCCAUUCCAACCCUGACCACAAUUUUUCUGUGUACUACUUAACCAUCAAAUUUCAACCUGUUGCUUCCAGCCCCCCUGGAAGGUGAAGAGGCAGAUUUGGGGUGUCCCAAAGCAGCUCAGCUGGUCCAAAGCAGGGCAGUUGUGCUGCUCUGGUGCCAGCAGCGCUGCAGGUGCUGCAGCGAGCGGGUCCCAGGCUGCUCCUGAGCCCACAUUUCAGUGACAUUUCAGUGCUGCCUUCACACCAGGGUUGUGCUGAGAGCUGCUCAUGCCAUUCCCACAAGCGGAUUAAGAACAUCCAGUGUCAGUGGAACUCAAAUUCCUAUGGGAAGAGACAGCCUAAACCACCUUUUUUAAUUAGGCAUCAAACCCUUUUUAAACCACCCAUACCACGGAGUGUUUCUAUUUCCAUAGCCUGGCCUGUGAUGCCACAGAGAAAUGACAGAUUUCUUGUGAGUAGCACAUCUAAGUCAUCUUUUCUAACCAAGUGAUGGAUGUAAUAUUAAUAAAUGUCAUUGUUUUAUAAAGUAGAAACCAUGUGAAGUUGGCACCAGCCCCCUGCUCAAGUCUACAGCUUGCUUGCAAUUACCAGUACUGCUGUAUGUAUUUUUAAACAAGCUAUAAUACUGUGAUGAUGCUGUAAACUUACCUCUGUAGGAAAAAAAAUGUUCUAUUUCAAAAUGUCAGGAUGAAGGAUGUAAAUGUUCUGAAAGUGCUAUCAACAACAACAACAACAACGAAAAAAGAUUUUUCACAGAAUAUUCUAAAGGAUUCUGUUACAUGCUACAUAUCUAUUUUACAAGGGUAUUUAUGGAUCAUACAGCCUAGUCUGUGAAAACAGUACUAUUUUAUUACAGAAUAAAUAAAUGAAUAAAUAAGC